CAUCGACCAUGCAUCGAUUUUCCCUGUAAAAGCCGAACUAUUGACUAUACUUCAACAUAAAAUUUAUCUCGAUUUUUUACUGUAAAAAUCGAUAUUAAUCAUAUCGACUUUCACUGUAAAAGCCAUAAUACCAACUAUGUCUCGGUAUUAAAUAUACUUCGACUUUCCAAUGUAAAAGCCAAUCAUAGUCAAAAGACUAUUAUGCUAACUUAAUCCUAACUAAGUGAAACAUUAUGCCAAUACAACCAAGAUCGGAUUGAAAUUAUACCGACUCAGCUAUGGCCAGUCGAAGGAUAUUU
rnacentral:lncRNA from 1 species